rnacentral:rRNA from 1 species
CCUACGGGUGGCAGCAGUGAGGAAUAUUGGUCAAUGGGCGCAAGCCUGAACCAGCCAAGUAGCGUGCGGGAUGAAGGCCCUACGGGUCGUAAACCGCUUUUGCACGGGGAUAACACCCUCCACUUGUGGCGGUCUGCAGGUACCGUGCGAAUAAGGGCCGGCUAAUUCCGUGCCAGCAGCCGCGGUAAUACGGAAGGCGCGAGCGUUAUCCGGAUUUAUUGGGCUUAAAGGGAGCGUAGGCGGGCGAUCAAGUCAGCUGUAAAAUUGAGCGGCUCAACCGCGCCCCGCCGUUGAAACUGGUCGCCUUGAGUUAACAAGAGGCAGGCGGAAUGCGUGGUGUAGCGGUGAAAUGCAUAGAUAUCACGAGGAACCCCGAUUGCGAAGGCAGCCUGCCGGGGUGCGACUGACGCUGAGGCACGAAGGUGCGGGUAUCAAACAGGAUUAGAUACCCCGGUAGUC